CAGGUCUUGACAUCCUCUGACAACCCUAGGGAUAGGGCGUUCCCCUUCGGGGGACAGAGUGACAGGUGGUGCAUGGUUGUCGUCAGCUCGUGUCGUGAGAUGUUGGGUUAAGUCCCGCAACGAGCGCAACCCUUGAUCUUAGUUGCCAGCAUUCAGUUGGGCACUCUAAGGUGACUGCCGGUGACAAACCGGAGGAAGGUGGGGAUGACGUCAAAUCAUCAUGCCCCUUAUGACCUGGGCUACACACGUGCUACAAUGGAUGGAACAAAGGGUCGCGAAGCCGCGAGGUGAAGCCAAUCCCAUAAAUCCAUUCUCAGUUCGGAUUGCAGGCUGCAACUCGCCUGCAUGAAGCCGGAAUCGCUAGUAAUCGCGGAUCAGCAUGCCGCGGUGAAUACGUUCCC
rnacentral:rRNA from 1 species